rnacentral:rRNA from 1 species
GAAGAGAAAGAAAAUUUAUCGAUUUCCAAAGUAGCGGCGAGCGAAAUGGAAAGAGCCCAAACCGUGAUGCGUGCAUCGCGGGGUUCGGACUGCGUUGUGGCAGACGUAAGAUAGGAGAACGGACUGGGAAGUCCGGCCGGAGAGAGUGAAAGCCUCGUAUCCGAAAUCCCAAGUCGCCUAGCAGGAUCCAGAGUAGGACGAGACACGAGAAACCUUGUCUGAACGAGCGGGGACCACCCCGUAAGGCUAAAUACUUCUUAGUGACCGAUAGCGCAUAGUACUGUGAAGGAAAGGUGAAAAGUACCCCGGGAGGGGAGUGAAAGAGAACCUGAAACCCUGUGUCUACAAGCUGUGGGACCUCUUUAUAUGAGGGACUGCGUACUUUUUGUAGAACGGUCCGGCGAGUUGUGCGUACUGGCGAGGUUAAGGACUUAAGGUCUGGAGCCGAAGUGAAAGCAAGCGUUAAUAGCGCGUCAAGUCAGUGAGUGCAGACCCGAAACCGGGUGACCUAUCCAUGUCCAGGUUGAAGCUUCCGUAAGAGGAAGUGGAGGACCGAACCCACAUCCGUUGAAAAGGGUGGGGAUGAGGUGUGGAUAGCGGAGAAAUUCCAAUCGAACCCGGAGAUAGCUGGUUCUCCUCGAAAUAGCUUUAGGGCUAGCCUCAUGAGAGUCUUAUGGAGGUAGAGCACUGAAUUGCCUAGGGGGCGUCAAAGCUUACCAAAGCAUAUCAAACUCCGAAUGCCAUCAAGAUGAUUCAUGGGAGUCAGACCAUACGAGAUAAGUUGGAUGGUCAAAAGGGAAAGAGCCCAGACCUACAGCUAAGGUCCCAAAGUACGUGUUAAGUGGAAAAGGAUGUGGGGAUUCUAAGACAACUAGGACGUUGGCUUAGAAGCAGCCAUUCAUUGAAAGAGUGCGUAAUAGCUCACUAGUCGAGAGUCCCUGCGCCGAAAAUGUCCGGGGCUGAAACACGACACCGAAGCUUAGGAAUGUGUAAACAUUGGUAGAGGAGCAUUGCUGGCGGGAUGAAGCCAUACCGUAAGGAGUGGUGGACUGCUAGGAAGAGAGAAUGCCGGAAUGAGUAGCGAGAUGAAGGUGAGAAUCCUUCAGGCCGAAUAUCUAAGGUUUCCAGAGUAAAGCUGAUCUGCUCUGGGUAAGUCGGGACCUAAGGCGAGGUCGAAAGACGUAGUCGAUGGAUAACAGGUUGAAAUUCCUGUACCGCAUAUAAACAGAACUGUGGGGACACAGACAGGGAAUGGAAUCCGGGAGUGGAAAUCCCGGUGCAAGCGAGGUAGGAGUGCUGUUGGCAAAUCCGCAGCACGAUCUGAAGACGUGACGCGUACCGAACAUAAGUAGGGAAGUCCAGGCCCCUGGCUGUCAAGAAAAGCCGCUAUUGUUUUAUAUGUGCCCGUACCGCAAACCGACACAGGUGGAUGAGGAGAGAAUCCUAAGGCCGACGGGAGAAGUAUUGUUAAGGAACUCGGCAAAAUGACUCCGUAACUUCGGGAGAAGGAGUGCCAUGAGAGUGGCCGCAGAGAAAUGGCCCAAGCAACUGUUUAGCAAAAACACAGGUCUAUGCAAAACCGCAAGGUGAAGUAUAUGGGCUGACGCCUGCCCGGUGCUGGAAGGUUAAGGGGAGAGGUUAGCGCAAGCGAAGCUUUGAACUUAAGCCCCAGUAAACGGCGGCCGUAACUAUAACGGUCCUAAGGUAGCGAAAUUCCUUGUCGGGUAAG